GGUUCCAUGGGUGUAAUGGUGAGCACUCUGGACUCUGAAUCCAGCGAUCCGAGUUCAAAUCUCGGUGGAACCG